AUCUCGAGCAACCGUGCCACACCUAUGUAGGGGGACUGUUGUCUAAGACCACAAUUCCAGCUCCAAUAGCGUAUAUUAAAGUUGCUGCGGUUAAAACGCUCGUAGUUGAAUUGUGGUCUUAGACAACAGUCCCCCUACAUAGGUGUGGCACGGUUGCUCGAGAUCUUCAUUCGUGGUUGCUGUUGUUGCUCUUCAUUGAGUGUCAAUGGUGCCUCGAGAUUUUACUUUGAAAAAAUUAGAGUGCUCAAAGCAGGUUGUGAUGCCUGAAUAAUGGUGCAUGGAAUAAUAGAAUACGAUCUCGGUUCUAUUUUGUUGGUUUUCGAACCGGAGAUAAUGAUUGAAAGGAACAGACGGGGGCAUUCGUAUUGCUGCGUUAGAGGUGAAAUUCUUGGAUCGCAGCAAGAUGAACAAUUGCGAAAGCAUUUGCCAAGAAUGUUUUCAUUAAUCAAGAACGAAAGUUAGAGGUUCGAAGGCGAUCAGAUACCGCCCUAGUUCUAACGGUAAACUAUGCCAACCAGCGAUUCGCCGAAGUUCAUUUAAGACUCGGCGAGCAGCUUCCGGGAAACCAAAGUGUUUCGGUUCCGGGGGAAGUAUGGUUGCAAAGCUGAAACUUAAAGGAAUUGACGGAAGGGCACCACCAGGAGUGGAGCCUGCGGCUUAAUUUGACCCAACACGGGAAAACUCACCCGGCCCGGACACUGGAAGGAUUGACAGAUUGACAGCUCUUUCUUGAUUCAGUGGGUAGUGGUGCAUGGCCGUUCUUAGUUGGUGGAGCGAUUUGUCUGGUUAAUUCCGAUAACGAACGAGACUCUACCCUAUUAAAUAGUGACAGUAUUGUAUUUUUUGUGCUGAUCACUUCUUAGAGGGACUGGCAAAUUGAAAGCUGCACGAAAAAGAGCAAUAACAGGUCUGUGAUGCCCUUCGAUGUCCGGGGCUGCACGCGCGCUACAAUGAAAGCGUCAACGUGAGUUACGUCCUUACCUGAAAAGGUUUGGCAAUCGAAUGAAACGUUUUCUUGAAUGGAAUAGGGAAUUGCAAUUGUUUCCCUUGAACGAGGAAUUCCCAGUAAGCGUGAGUCAUUAGCUCGCGUUGAUUACGUCCCUGCCCUUUGUACACACCGCCCGUCGCUACUACCGAUUGGAUGAUUUAGUGAGGUGUUUUGACUGGCGCCAGUAGUCGGAUGUAUUCGGCUUCGCGCCGGGAAAUUUCCCAAACCAAAUCAUCUAGAGGAAGUAAAAGUCGUAACAAGGUUUCCGUAGGUGAACCUGCGGAAG
rnacentral:rRNA from 1 species